AGUGAACGCUGGCGGUAGGCCUAACACAUGCAAGUCGAACGGCAGCACAGUAAGAUCUUGCUCUUACGGGUGGCGAGUGGCGGACGGGUGAGGAAUACAUCGGAAUCUACUUUUUCGGGGAGGAUAACGUAGGGAAACUGACGCUAAUACCUCAUACGACCUACGGGUGAAAGCAGGGGAGCUUCGGACCUUGCGCGAUUGAAUUAGCCGAUGUCGGAUUAGUUAGUUGGCGGGGUAAAGGCCCACCAAGGCGAGGAUCCGUAGCUGGUCUGAGAGGAUGAUCACCACACCUGAAGGUGAGCACCGUUCAAGCCCCUUAGGGAAGGCAGAGGAGGGAAACAUUGGCAAUGGGGGGAAACCUUGAACAAGCCAGCCGGGGUGGGUGAAGAAGUCCUCCGGGUUGUAAAGCCCUUUUUUUGGGAAAAAAAAGUAGCAGGUUAAUAGACCGCUGUUUGGCGGUAACCAAUAAAAAAGCCACGGCUAACUUCGUG
rnacentral:rRNA from 1 species